rnacentral:rRNA from 1 species
GACGAACGCUGGCGGCGUGCCUAAUACAUGCAAGUCGAACGCAGUGGGGACGGGUGAGUAACACGUGGGUAACCUCCCAUCAGAGGGGAUAACACUUGGAAACAGGUGCUAAACCGAUAAUGCUGGAUGAACCCGCGGGGCAUUAGCUAGUUGGUGAGGUAACGGCUCACCAAGGCCACGAUGCAUAGGCGCACUGGUAGGGUGAGCGGACACACUGGGAUUGAGACACGGCCCAGCCGCCUACGGGAGGCAGCAGUAGGGAAUCUUCGGCAAUGGACGAAAGUCUGACCGAGCAACGCCGCGUGAGUGAAGAAGGUUUUCGGAUCGUAAAACUCUGUUGUUAGAGAAGCGGUAUCUAACCAGAAAGCCACGGCUAACUACGUGCCAGCAGCCGCGGUAAUUC